rnacentral:rRNA from 1 species
AACGAACGCUGGCGGCAGGCCUAACACAUGCAAGUCGAACGCCGUAGCAAUACGGAGUGGCAGACGGGUGAGUAACACGUGGGAACAUGCCCUUGGGUUCGGAAUAACUCAGGGAAACUUGAGCUAAUACCGGAUAAGCCCGAGAGGGGACAGAUUUAUCGCCGAAGGAUUGGCCCGCGUCCGCUUGGCUAGUUGGUGUGGUAAUGGCUCACCAAGGCUACGAUCGGUAGCUGGUCUGAGAGGAUGAUCAGCCACACUGGGACUGGGACACGGCGAAGACUCCUACGGGAGGCACUAGUGGGGAAUAUUGGACAAUGGGUGGAAGCCUGAUCCAGCCAUGCCGCGUGAGUGAUGUAGGCCCUAGGGUUGUAAAGCUCUUUCGCCAGGGACGUUAAUGACGGUACCUGGAUAAGAAGCCCCGGCUAACUUCGUGCCAGCCGCCGCAGUAAAAC